CUACGGGACGCAGCAGUGGGGAAUAUUGGACAAUGGGGGAAACCCUGAUCCAGCAAUGCCGCGUGUGUGAAGAAGGCCUGCGGGUUGUAAAGCACUUUCGGUUGGGAGGACUGCUUCUAGCACUAAUAUUGUUGGAAGUUGACGUUACCUUCAGAAGAAGCACCGGCUAACUCCGUGCCAGCAGCCGCGGUAAUACGGGGGUGCAGGCGUUAAUCGGAAUUACUGGGCGUAAAGCGCGGGUAGGCGGCUAGAUCAGUCGGGUGUGAAAGCCCCGGGCUUAACCUGGGAACUGCAUCCGAUACUGUCUAGCUUGAGUACAGGAGAGGAGAGUGGAAUUCCACAUGUAGCGGUGAAAUGCGUAGAUAUGUGGAGGAACACCAAUGGCGAAGGCAGCUCUCUGGCCUGAUACUGACGCUGAGGUGCGAAAGCGUGGGGAGCAAACAGGAUUAGAUACCCCGGUAGUC
rnacentral:rRNA from 1 species